rnacentral:rRNA from 1 species
GACGAACGCUGGCGGCGUGCCUAACACAUGCAAGUCGAACGGAAAGGCCGGGCUUUUGUGGGGUGCUCGAGUGGCGAACGGGUGAGUAACACGUGAGUAACCUGCCUUGGAGUGUGGGAUAACUUUAGGAAACGGGGGCUAAUACCGGAUAGGAGCUCCUGCUGCAUGGUGGGGGUUGGAAAGUUUCGGCGGUUGGGGAUGGACUUGCGGCUGAUGAGCUUGUUGGUGGGGUAGUGGCUUACCAAGGCUUUGACGGGUAGCCGACCUGAGAGGGUGACCGGCCCCAUUGGGCCUAGGGUAGGGCCCAGACUGCUACGGGAGGCAGCGGUGGAAAUUAGUGCACAAUGGGCGGAAGGCUGAUACAACGACGCCGCGUGCGGGAUGACGGCCUUCGGGUUGUAAACCGCUUUCGCCUGUGACGAAGCGUGUGUGACGGUAAUGGAUAAAGAAGCACCGGCUAACUACGUG